rnacentral:rRNA from 1 species
GUGGGGAAUUUUGGACAAUGGGCGCAAGCCUGAUCCAGCAAUGCCGCGUGUGUGAAGAAGGCCUUCGGGUUGUAAAGCACUUUUGGCAGGAAAGAAAUAGUGCGUGCUAAUACCAUGCGCGAAUGACGGUACCUGCAGAAUAAGCACCGGCUAACUACGUGCCAGCAGCCGCGGUAAGACGUAGGGUGCAAGCGUUAAUCGGAAUUACUGGGCGUAAAGCGUGCGCAGGCGGUUUUGUAAGACAGGUGUGAAAUCCCCGGGCUCAACCUGGGAACUGCACUUGUGACUGCAAGGCUAGAGUGUGGCAGAGGGAGGUGGAAUUCCGCGUGUAGCAGUGAAAUGCGUAGAGAUGCGGAGGAACACCGAUGGCGAAGGCAGCCUCCUGGGAUAACACUGACGCUCAGGCACGAAAGCGUGGGGAGCAAACAGGAUUAGAUACCCUUGUAGUCC